UAGUACCUUGGUUCCAGUGAGUUUCUCUUCUGUAGAGUCACCUCAGAGAAAGAGGAAAACCCAGAGUUGGUUCACAAGCCUACUCUCAGGUGACUUUUAGAAAUGCUUAUUAAAUCCAUUCAACCCUUGAGAGAGAAAACAUAGAAAUUGGGUUCUGGAGUGCUUAAAGGUUCAACACAAGACAAGACAAAGAGACUGUGUGUCAGCAUGUGGGAGGCAGAGGUGUUGACUCCUGGAUGUUAUUCUUGGGCUGUGGAAGAGAGACAGUGCUGGAAUUCUUCUGUCAUUGUUAAUUGAGCCUCUCCGCUUGCAAAGAGAAUCUCACCCCACUCCUCUCCUGACUUCCCUCUUCACUUUCCCUUCUGACUAACCCUUACCUGCAUUUGAGCCAAGACAGCCGGCCAGGACCUGUGGCCAGGGUUGGGUAGGGAAAGUGGCUGUGUGGCGUGACUCUAGGAAAUAGGGUGAUGAAGAGGGAGGGAUUGUAAGUUUUAGGGGUUUCCCUCAAUGUCGUGUUGCAGUGCACUGUGACAAAUGAAGAACACUGAACGAGGGAAGCCGUGAAGUUUUGUGCAGAGUUGAAGACAGGAGAGCUGACUUUUAGCCAUCACCCUGCCACCGAAUAGCUCCAUGAGCUUCUCCUCUUUGACCUUUUGUUUCCUGGAGAUUGGAUGAGCAUUUUCUAAGGUUUUUCUCUUGACAUUCAAUUUAGGCAAUUGACGAUGCUAGGUAAGCUGAUUUUUAGCUCCUCACUUCGUAUCGCCUGGUUUUACCCACAUCCCGCUAUCAAAUGGUUCCUGGCCCCAUAAAAAUAAUCAAGAAAGCUAUGUUGGUGGCUUUUGCCAUAGGAGUCUGAUUUUUGAUGCCAUUAUUUUUCAUGCAUAUAAAACUAAUAUUUUAAGUCUUCUGUGCUUUGUUCUGUUGUUUUGGUCUGGAAGAACGUGCUUCAGAGUUGCACUUAGCCUAGAACAUGGCCUGACCUCUAUGGUAUGAAUAAGUGAGCUCCAUGAAGACAAUAAGAUCUCCUGAAAUUAUACAGGACCUGUGAGUAUUGUUUUCCUGAGCUUCUCCUCUGUCUCCUCUUGUGGCUGCACUUGACUGAGCAUUUCAUGAAAGAAUACAGAAUGCACUGCUCAAACUACUCUUGGGUCAUCUUCAGGAGACAGAGCUGAGACAGGAGUCCUCCUGGCAAGGUAGGAGCAGCACACUAGGGCUUUAUGGUCCAGGAUGCUUAAGAGAAAGAGAAAUGUAUGUGAAGACAGCCUGGCAUCCACUACACAGGCCCUGCCUUCACUGUGUGGAUGUAGUUGCCCUGAGAGUGGACAGAGAAAGAAGAAUGAGGGCAGUGAGUAAGCGAAGGGUCUCAGAAUGGGGAUCUCAGGACCUUCAGGGCUGACAGCCAUGUGGCUGCCUCAGGACACAGUCAUGCAGCACGUGGUGUCUGAGGGGUAGACAGUGGUUACUUCCUAAUCUCCCACAGAUGGUGCCCUGGGCAGGGGUGGGGGUGAGGACCCACCCAAGCAGGCAACUAGAAGAAUUUGAUCCUGGAACUCUUAGCAGGGAGGCAGUUCUGUGUAGGCAACUUCAUGGCAUCACCUCUGCAGGGCCUUGUGACCCUACCCAGGGGUAUUAGUCCCACAUUCUUCAAGAGCAAUGGCUGGAGAAUGGCAAGAGUUGAAUGGGAGUGGGGACACAGAGACAUUGUUAGGAAUAUAGCAAGACAGAUCUAAUGCGUGAGUCUUACAGUGAAAAGAAAAGAAAGCCCAGUGAGCAGUGCCAAAUGCCACAGAAUCAAGUGCCUCCCUGCUGAAGAUGGGACAAGUGAGGACAACCAGGGCGCUAUUUUGGUGGAGGAGCUGGAAGGACCCUGAGUUGGUGAAAGAAUGUGACCUUAGCAGAGGCCCAUCAUGUUAGGAAGGAAUUGCCAGCCAAACUGGGGCACCAAGCUGCAGAACAGCAGGAUGGGCACAGCUGGCACAAAGCCCAUCCCAAGGCACUGAGAGAGAGAAGGAGGGACUUGGGGCAUUGCAAUCCAGUGAGUUUCCACUAGGGAACUCAGCACUUAAGACUCCUAGAGUAUGAUCUCUCAUGCUGAUGGACAGGAAGCCUGGAGAUGGGGCUAAGUAUGUGGAAUGGGGACAGAAACCUCAAGGGUUCCCGAGACACUGGGACAGGCCGGACAAGGAAAAUGCUCCCUACUUGUAGGUACAACAAGAAGCACAUUCUUCCAAAGAUUUAGGGUGUUGUGAAGGUGGCAGAGGGCAAGAAGAAUACUCCAUUUUAAAGAACACUCAGCCAUAUAUUAGCAGAAUUGCAAAUCAAUCUUUUGGAAACAGCAUCCCACCUUCCUCGGACAUUGAUAUUUAAGGCAGGGACUGCUAUGACAUUAGCCAGACUGUCCACACACCAAACCAGGCUGUCCCCGAGGCUCUGAUUCACAGCGAUUUACCAACAUCCUGAAUGUGUUAUCUGAAACAGCGAUCAGGAGAGAAGACUACACGAAAAUCUAGACAGGUCGCACCUUCUUCAACAUUUUGAAUUGCAAAGUAAGAGGUGACAUCAGCCCAGGGAGGUGUUGUGACCGUGGGAGGAGAAAGAAUGAGCAAUAAUCUCUGGCACACUUCUGGGCAAAACGCUAAGCAGCACAAAAAGUGCGGGAGCAUAGGACACAUGCAGAAGAGAAGCUAUGGUGCAGAAAUGGCAUUUCACUGGGAAUUGGGAUAAAUAGGAUCUUUCUUCACUCUGACUAGCUUGGUACAUUUGGGAAAGUGAUUUAAUGUCCCUGAGACCUGGCUUCUUCCCUUGUAGAACAUGAGAGUUGAUGCAGGUGUUCCUUGGGAUCCUCCUCAUCCUAGUAUUCUGUGAACCUGAGGGUCUGGGUAGUUCACAGACUGGGACACCCUCUCCCAGAUUUUCCAGAGCAAAUAAUACUCCCCUGAUGCAGCUUCAGCCAAUAGCAUGAUCCUUCCUAUCUCAGGGAAUGUUUCCAAUCAGAAAACAUACAGGGUGGAUCCAUCAGUGAGAGAUCUUGCCAAGUGGUGUUAAGACUUCCCCAUGGCCCUAUGUUUACCAUGCAUUCGAUUCUCGGCGUGGUCCGGGCCUUUCUCACCUCAUCCAUUUCACCUACCAAGAAAGGAAAUGACAUUCAUCUGGGCUGGGGCACUAUUGCAUAACAAAACAAGCCAACCUGUAAUUAAGGAGAACUGAACACUGAUGCUGAGCCCAGCAUCUUGGGGAAAGACUGCUGAGAGUUUCGCUUGGCUUUGGAAUUCAGUUAUCAGAUAACGUGCGCUGGAUUGACCUAAACUGCAACAUGGCCCUUGUAAUUAUACCGUGCUUUUGCUUUGGAGCCUGAGGGAAAUGUAGAAGGCGCUGGAGUCUGAGCUCUGGGUCACCUGAACGUCCUGUGAUUAUGCCUGGUCUCACAUUCAAAAGGAGAGACGGGAGUGUUUGUAUUUUACCCACAGCAGCGGACUCAGCUCUAGGGUAUGUGGGGUGCAUGUGUCUUCUGUCUCUCCUGGAACCAGUAUCUGUUCAUUCGUUCACUGAGUACCUACUGUGAUCAAGGCACUGGAUGGGGCACUAUGACAAUUUCUCUUUUGGUAUUUUUUCAAGAUUUGUUUACUUGAUCUUCUAGCCCAGGGGUCAGCAAACCACAGGCCAUGGGCUAGAUCCAGGCCUUUGCCUGUUUCUGUGCAGCCUCAAUAGUUAAGAACUUUUACAUUUUUAAAUGAUUAAGAAGGAAAUCAAAAGAAGAACACUAUUUUGUUACACAAGAACAUUGUAUUCAAUUUGAAUUUUGGUGUCAAUAAAUAAAGCUGUAUUAGAACCCAGCUGUGGUGGGCAGAAUUCUAAAAUGUCUCCCAGGGAUGCUCAUCCUUGUAUAAUCGCCUCCCUUUGAGUGUGAGUGAAACCUGUGAAUGUACUGAAGUAUCACUCCUGUGAUUUACGUUACAUUUUAUUGCAAAGGGGAUUCUUGCAGAUGUCAUUAAGAUUACUAAUCAGUUGAUUUGGGGCUCUUCAAAAGGGAAAUUACCCAGGCGCGCCUAACCUAAUCAUAUGAGCCAUUUACAACAGGGUUCUCUCUUGCUGGUAGCAGAAGAGAAGUUAAAGAAACAUGCUACAGCUGACCAGGAAGAGAGCAAACAUCUGUACUAUGAACUGCCCACAGGAGCCCUGAGUGUGGCCCUGAUGACAAGCAGCAGGGAAACCAGGACUUCAGUCCUACAACCCCAAGGAGAUGGAUUCUUCCAACAACCUGAAUGAGCUUGGAAGCCCCCAGAUAAGAGCCCAGCCAGCCAAUACUUUCAUGUCAGCAGCGCGAAACCUAAGUGAAGAGCUCAGGCUAUUCUGUGCUCCAUGUGUGCUCCUUGGUGCAGUGGCCUAGAGAAGAGAAGUUUUGGAGGCCAGAAGCCUGAAAUCAAGGUGCUGGCAGAGUCAGUUCCUUCUGGAGGCUCUGAGGGAGAACCCAUUCCACACUCUCCUGGCUUCAGGUGGCUGCUGGCAACCCUUGACGUUCGUUGGCUUACAGCUGAAUCACUCCAGUCCCUGCCAGUGUCUUCACCUGGUCUUCCCCGUCUGUAUGUCUGUGUCUUAGAUCUCCCGCUGCCAUUCUCUUUUCAGGACUGCUGUCAUUAGAUUUAAGCCUAUCCUAAAUCCAGAUGAUCUCAUCCCAAGAUCAUUCCUUCAUUACACCUGCAAAGACCCAUUUGCUACAUAAGGUCACAGUCAGAGGUACUGGGGUUGACGGCUUGGACAUAUCUUUUUGGAGGCCACAAUUCAGUUCACUACAGCAGGCAUUUAGUAUGUUCCUGGAGCUGAUAGGGAAAACUUUCUCAAUCUCCUAAACAGCAAUUGAAAUCAACAAAUCUGUUCUAUAUUAUACUGCAAGUUUUUUUUUUUUUCUCAUGGGGCUUUAUAGAUACUUACAUCCCCUCACACACCCCCAAACCCCCAUGAUCUUGUGAUUAUAGAUUAGACAAUUACUCAGUGGCAAGGGAGAUACUGAAAUCUUCAUCACUCACCUAGAUGGGUGCCCCUGCCUUGUCUUGCUCUUUUUACCCAUCUGAACAAAACCCAAAGUAAGGCAACAUUUAGGAGAUACAUCAAAAGUCAGGGUACUAAUCCACAAGUUUUAAGUCCAGGAUUGAAUCCCACUGAGACUUUCUGUGAGUGGGAAAUUCUUUGUGCUU